rnacentral:misc_RNA from 1 species
CUCUCUCAUCUGUGUUCUAGAUCUCACCAGGUCUUUCUCUGGUUAAUAUAUGGCUUCCAAGAUCUGGUAAUAUGUUAUAAAUACGUCAUACUUAAGCUUUUUUCAAAUCAAAAAUAGAAAUUUGUGGGUUUGUCUCGUUUUACUAUUUUAGCAGUAUAUAUUAAGAAGUUCAGAUGUUAUUCGAUCAUCUGUUUUUGCUUCCCCUCUGCCAUCUUUAUCUUUUAGGGUUUCAAUUCUUUUUCACUUUUUUCUUCUGGUUUGGAGAUGGUUAGGUUCCAACUAAGUAUACGAGAUUAAAUUUGACAUCUUAGUUACUUCAAAAUUCCUUCAAUCAAAACAAGUCAUCUCGACUAUUCCGCCAUGUUUGUAUAUACAUAUUUAUAUAUUAUAUAUAUGAAGGUACGAGUUUCUAGUGUCUAUAAAUUAAGAAGGUUAAGUACCAUAUAGAUGAUAUUUGUUAAGUAGUAAGUCACUCAAAGUUUGAGUUUGGGUUUGAGUUUGAGUUUGAGUUUGAGUUUGAGAGACAAAAGAUUACUACAAGAAGAUUGUUAAACAAAAAUGGAAGACUAAUUUCCGGAGCCACG